GGCGCCGUAGCUCAGAGGUAGAGCGCACGACUCAUAAUCGUGUAGUCGGUGGUUCGACCCCACCCGGCGCCACCA
rnacentral:tRNA from 1 species